UGUUUGACUUUUGAAAAUUUGGUCGAUGUAAGUUAAUUUAAACAAAUUUAAUCCCUUAAUUGUUUAUAAUGUUGCACUUUAAGCCUCUAGUGUUAUAUAAUUGUCAAAUUUCAUUAACAUAUGAUUUUAUUUUUAUCAUUUAGAAUU